rnacentral:rRNA from 1 species
AACGUAGGUGGCGAGCGUUAUCCGGAUUCAUUGGGCGUAAAGAGCUUGUAGGCGGCCACAUAAGUUGGACGUGAAAACUCCGGGCUUAACUUGGAGAGGCCGUUCAAUACUGUGAGGCUAGAGGGUGUCAGAGGGAAGUAGAAUUCCUGGUGUAGCAGUGAAAUGCGUAGAUAUCAGCAGGAACACCCGUGGCGAAGGCGGCUUCCUGGACCGGUAUUGACGCUGAGGCGCGAAAGCCAGGGGAGCAAACGGG